rnacentral:rRNA from 1 species
GACGAACGCUGGCGGCGUGCUUAACACAUGCAAGUCGAGCGGUAAGGCCCUUUCGGGGGUACGACGAGCGGCGAACGGGUAGAGUAACACGUGGGUGACCUGCCCUUAGCUCUGGGAUAAGCCUGGGAAACUGGGUCUAAUACCGGAUAUGACUCCAUGACGCAUGUUGUGGGGUGGAAAGCCUUGUGCGGCUAGGGAUGGGCCCGCGGCCUAUCAGCUUGUUGGUGGGGUGAUGGCCUACCAAGGCGACGACGGGUAGCCGGCCUGAGAGGGCGACCGGCCACACUGGGACUGAGACACGGCCCAGACUCCUACGGGAGGCAGCAGUGGGGAAUCUUGCGCAAUGGGCGAAAGCCUGACGCAGCGACGCCGCGUGGGGA